CUGGGCCGCCGGCUUCGGUGAUGCCAUCAUACCCUGUUUCCAGUCAGCCUGUUGGUGCCUAUCCCUCCCAGCAUUUUAACCCAGGUGGUCCUCCUGCUCCACCUAUGUAUUCGGGUAACCCAGUUCCAUGGGGAACCCCUGCUCCACCUCCUUAUGCUCCUUAUGCUCCUCCCCCUCCUCCUGGUUCGAACAUGUACUACCCUCCUAUGAGUCAGCCUAUGGCCGGUUAUGGUGCACGAUACCCUCCUCCCCCUGGUGCACCACCUCCACCCUCCAGUGAAGCACAGCAGAGUUACCCUCCUCCAGGAGUUCAAUCUGAAAAUUCUAGCCAACCUAUACCAACUAAUAUGUAUGGGAGCUCUCUGCCAGCAAUGCCACCAAAUGGCCAACAUACUUAUCCUGCAUCUUCAUAUGGUUACUCAUCUUACUACAAUGCUGUUCCACCUCCUCCUCCACCUCCCUCAACUGCAGACCAAUCUCAGAGCAUUGGUAAUGUGCCAUGGGCAACAAGUACUCCCCCUCCC
rnacentral:lncRNA from 1 species